UCCGGAUUAGCUCAGUUGGUAGAGCAACGGACUGUUAAUCCGUUUGUCGCUGGUUCGAGCCCAGCAUCCGGAG
rnacentral:tRNA from 1 species